rnacentral:rRNA from 1 species
AGAAUCAACGCUGGCGGCGUGCCUAACACAUGCAAGUCGAACGAGAAAGGGUAGCAAUACCUGAGUAAAGUGGCGCACGGGUGAGUAACACGCGACUAACCUACCUUUAAGUGGGGGAUAACCUAGGGAAACCUGGGCUAAUACCGCAUAAUACCUACGGGUCAAAGCAGCAAUGCGCUGAAAGAGGGGGUCGCGGCCGAUUAGCUGGUUGGCGGGUAAUGGCCCACCAAGGCAAUGAUCGGAUCGCCG